AGAAGAGAACAGUACACACAUGGCUUUGUAGUUUAACAGUGACAAAAGGAUGUAAAUGUACAAACUAGAAGAUGGGAUGGACACACAGCAACAGUUGUAGAAGCAGAGCUUCCCUGAUGGAUCAGGAGCGACCUGGAGCCCUGGCAGUAGCGGUGUUCUCCAGAUGGCUUUUCCACGGCGUCGUCUUCCGCAACACACCAGUGAGCCACGAGACUGAGAUGGAAAUUCCAGUGUGGGGAGGGUGUGAGUCAUGAGAUGAUCCUGACCAUUAGGAAGACACUGCUGCAGAGUCUGAAACCCAACCCAUCUAUCUAUUCCUUAUUCUCAAGAAACCUUGGGUUAGAAGCUGCCGAAAAAUUUCCUUCUGGAUAAAUAACUGUGAUGUCCCCACCAAGCACACGUUCUCAGUGAGCUGGAUUUCUUCACUGGGAUUGUUGGAACACUGUCCUGCUUGGAGGUCUCUCUUGUAGAGGAAUUAUUCAGCUCCACAAAAGGAGUGAUAAAAGUUAAAAUGCUUUGCAUUCACUCCCAGGCACAAGACUUUAUUAUUUGAGAUUCUGUUUGGAAAUAAAUGAGUUCUUGUCGUAAAUUGGGCA
rnacentral:lncRNA from 1 species